rnacentral:misc_RNA from 1 species
CUGCCCUCUCCUUUGACACUUCAAUGCCCAUUCAACUAAAUUCACCUUUUCUCUUGGCAGCGAUGGAUCAAUGGCAGGGCUCCCCCAAANNNNNCAAACAUGACCACUCCAAAGGAAUAAACAUCAGAUUUCUCUGUGAGUUGUUGCCUGAUCAAGUACUCUGGAUCAAGAUAUCCAAAGCUUCCUUUUACUGCUGUGCUAACAUGUGACUGAUCAAUCUCAGGACCAGUCUUUGAAAGACCAAAAUCAGCAACCUUGGCCAUGAAAUUCUCAUCUAGUAGUAUGUUAGCAGAUUUGACAUCACGGUGAAUGAUUGCCUUUGCAGAGCCCGUAUGAAGGUAGUGAAGUCCUUUUGCAGCUCCAAUGCAUAUCUCAAGACGUUGUCUCCAACUUAAGCUGGG